UACGGAGGAUGCGAGCGUUAUCCGGAUUUAUUGGGUUUAAAGGGUGCGUAGGCGGUCGGAUAAGUUAGAGGUGAAAUCCCGGGGCUCAACUUCGGAAUUGCCUCUGAUACUGUUCGGCUAGAGAGUAGUUGCGGUAGGCGGAAUGUAUGGUGUAGCGGUGAAAUGCUUAGAGAUCAUACAGAACCCCGAUUGCGAAGGCAGCAUACCGGCGCCCGACUGACGCUGAAGCACGAAAGCGUGGGUAUCGAACAGG
rnacentral:rRNA from 1 species